AUUGGGCCAUCUACUUUUUUUUUACCAAGUACUAUUAAUAUAGACUUAAGACCCUGAUUUCCUCUGCUUUCUUCUCUCUCUAAACCACCUCCUUUAAUCCUCUCUCUCUCUCUCUCUCUCUCUCUCUCCACCACGAAUCGAUGUUGUUCCCCAAAACAGUUUACCGGCAAGUCUCUCUUUCUCUGCUUUGGUAUGCUUUUGGUUUCUGUCAUGUUUUCUGGGUUCUUCUUUCCAUUGGUAUCUGUAGAAACUUUUACUUGAUGAGUAGCAAGGAGAUAUAGCAACCUCAACCUAUAUAGCAUACGAACAAUAUCUAAUUAUUUUAUGCAGUAACUAAUGCUGGGAGCAUUCUGUUUUUGCUAGUUUUUCAUGAUGGAGUUUGCUUAGCUGGGAUUUUGACCACUGCAAGUCUGUAACUAGGAAUUCAGUGUUGCAAAGAUUGGCAUCAGCUAUGGAUACAACUCCUCAUCAGGUCAGAUUGCAGACAUCCUGGAUUUCUCGAUUUAGUUAUGGCCUGUCCUAAAGCUUUGGAUAUGAACUUCUUGUCUAGAAAGUAGAAACCAUUUUAAAUUUUUUAAUCAAUUUAGUUUGGAAUGAUUAUGAUUUCUUUAGAGGCUUCUCACUAUUAUCCAAACCCUUCAUUAUUUCAAACUAUGAUCCAAACCCUUCAUAAACUAUUUAAAGGUAAUCCUGACUAAGGAGUAGCCACCAACCAAUUUUUUUAAACCAACUUUCCGUAUCUGAAUUCAUCACAAAAAGAUCAAGUACCUCGUCGGUCCUCUCAUGACUCACUAGAUGUCCUCCGCGGAGUUCUAUCAUUCUAGCACAAGGCUGCAGCUUCUCAGCAAGUCUCCUUGCAUAGUACAAUUGAGCAAUGAUAUCACUCCUAACCAUUCACGAAAAGACUGGUAAGUUUCUAAGCAGGAAUAUAACCCGAAGAUGAUAAGCAAAAGAAGUGAAAUGGUGCUUUUGGUUUGAGAAAGUACCUGCCAUGAAUCACUGAUGUCAGAAAUCCUGCAGAGCAGAUUGAUUCAAGUUCUUUUGUUGACAUUUCAUGUCUCCAGCAUGCGUUAGCUUGCCCAUCAAAACCAUGAUUCGACUGCAUGCCACUUGCUGAUAUACCUUUCACAUAUUCCUG